rnacentral:rRNA from 1 species
UACGAAGGGGGCUAGCGUUGCUCGGAAUCACUGGGCGUAAAGGGUGCGUAGGCGGGUUCUUAAGUCAGAGGUGAAAUCCUGGAGCUCAACUCCAGAACUGCCUUUGAUACUGAGAGUCUUGAGUUCGGGAGAGGUGAGUGGAACUGCGAGUGUAGAGGUGAAAUUCGUAGAUAUUCGCAAGAACACCAGUGGCGAAGGCGGCUCACUGGCCCGAUACUGACGCUGAUGUGCGAAAGCGUGGGGAGCAAACAGG